UUAAAGUCAAGAUAAUCAAGAACCCCCUACACACUCAUUUUGGUGAUAAGUUCUUUACUACCUACAUGGUUAUUUUAGUUUUAAAUUGAGUAAAACUAAUAAUAUCUAAGAAUGAUGAAUUUAAUGUGCUUAUUUAAUAUAUUUAUGUCUAUUAUUUAGUUUUAUACCUUAGUUUUAAUUAUAUCUUUAAACAUUUAUGCAUUUCAUGAACUCUGUGAAAAAAUUUGUGUAGCGACAAGCUGUUACGGUUACAUUAUGACCAUUACAGGCCCAUUUCUGUUACUCACAACCAUGACCAUGACCACAAACACGUCCACGAUAGCGACUUAAAAUCAUGGUAUAGAAAGAUGGAUAAAUAAUAUACAAUUAUCCAACAUAAGCCCUGUCUUUUACCAUAACAUCCAUAACCCACAGGGACCUAAAAAAGCUACUGUCAUUAUUUGUUCUUUGGUGAAUAAUUGCAACACAUUCUAAUCAGUUCAUGAAACCAGCUUGAAUUAAUUCAACGACACAGAAAAGGCAUAUGAAUCAUAUAUCAAACAUAGCAAUCUGUCAAUUUAAUCAAUUAUUAAGUAGAAAAGCAACAGUACCAAAAUCUUUAGACUCAAAAUAUUGAAUCCCAAUCAUUAAUUAGAGUUAGUUCACAGAAUAACCAGAAUAUGUGAACAUUGACACAAACAAUAAAUGUGACGUGUAAAACAAGGCCAAACAACUCGAUCAAUAUGAUAUUGCAAGUUAGACUCUAUUAAGGAAAUUCCUUGAAACAAUGACUUCAAAUCUUUAUUAUGUCGCAGAUAUAAUGAACAUAUAAAACAGGAUAACUCUGGAGAGAAAGUAAAAAAGGAUUUCUCCUGGAGAGAAUGGGUCAAACACAAGGUAUUCAUCAGCAUUAUUUCAGUGAAAUGCUCAAGAAUGAGAGACAAACUUUCAAAGUUUUGUAGUACAUAUUACCUUACCAAGUGUGUUUGC
rnacentral:misc_RNA from 1 species